UGUUCAUUUUAUUGUGUUUGAGGGUUUAUAUGGCCUUUACAUACCUUUAUUCUUCCCUUUUCAUAGACCUACAUCAACAAAACUAUUUCCUUAUCGCCAAAUCAAAUCGACGAAAUACCAAGUUAGUAAAUUAUGUUGGAAUAGCGAAGGUGUGAGAAAGAGUGAACGCCCCAAGAAGAGUAGUAGAUCAUUGAAGGAUGAUUACAUGUCAGAUGUGGAGGAGGAAGUGGAAGUGAAGAAGAAGAAGAAUGGGAAACAUGAGGGGGAGAAUGUGAAACCUGAAUGCAGGGAUCAACAACAGAUAGUGCCAAAGAUUAGCAAGAGAAAUUCCAAGGUAACAACAUCAGAUGAUCUUUUUGCUAAUUUUUUUUUUGGUUUUCACACUGGUUUCCAACCCAUCAAAGGUGGACGACUAAUCCAGCUCAUACGCACUAGCCAAGUGUUGUUCCUUAAAGAGGUCCCACAUCUUGCAUGGUUGAAUUCUAAGGAGAGAAACAAGAAUACUGUGAAGCUAUCUGAUGUCGCUAAAAUGUACAUGUUGAAUUGAAAGUUCUUUGCCUUUGAAAAUUAUAUCAUUUGUAUUUAACAAUCCUUCAUGAUAUAAUGAACCUUCUCAUAACAAGAAAAAAAGUCGAUAAAUCUAUCGACAACCAACACAUCUGGGAUUCAGAAAGUAUUUCUUCAAUGCAUGGAUAAGGUGGACAUUUUUUUGGAUCGUUACAUAUAUUUAAGAAGAAUUUAUAGCUCAAUCUAUACGAUAACUAUUCAUUAAUGAAUUUGUAAAUUGUAGCCUUUGUAUAAUGAUAUUAUUAAUGACAAAAUUAUAAGUAGAUUUUUCCUUUUAA